rnacentral:tRNA from 1 species
GAAUUUGUGGUGCAAUGGUAGCACGUCUAAUUACAAAUCAGAACGUUGCAUGUUCGAUUCACGUCAGGUCCA